ACAAGAUGAAAAAGAAGCUUGGAAGAAAAAAGAAGACAAAACAAAGAGCGCCAACAAAUACAUCAACAUGCAUUUCCUCCUGGAACCACAUGCCCACACUGCCACCGAUCCUUCCAAGCUAGGAUUGGCCUUAUCAGUCACCUACAGACCCAUUACUGACAAUAUGUGAAGACUGUCAUC